rnacentral:rRNA from 1 species
UACGGGGGGGGCAAGCGUUGUUCGGAAUUAUUGGGCGUAAAGAGCUUGUAGGCGGUCUGUCGCGUCUGCUGUGAAAAUCCGGGGCUCAACCCCGGACUUGCAGUGGGUACGGGCAGACUAGAGUGUGGUAGGGGAGACUGGAAUUCCUGGUGUAGCGGUGAAAUGCGCAGAUAUCAGGAGGAACGCCGAUGGCGAAGGCAGGUCUCUGGGCCACUACUGACGCUGAGAAGCGAAAGCAUGGGGAGCGAACAGG